rnacentral:tmRNA from 1 species
GGGGGUGACUGGCUUCGACAAGGAAAUCGACAUAUAUGUGCGCGGGGCAAAGCUGUAGUUGCUUUUCAACCGCUACACAAUUCAAGUGCGAACAAAGUAGCACGUGCGGUUCUCUCACCUAUUCAGGUGUCUGACCUGCAGUUCGCUUACGCGUUAGCCUAAGCGACCGUCCGCCAGUUCAACGCUUGAUCAGAGCUGAACGGGCGUCACUUCAUUCAAGCACUGAUGUCGUAGGUCCGGACGAUAUCUAAGAUGAGGACUCGGCGGUAUACGAUUCUGUUCAUCUCAUACGUAUGCCGCUUAAAUCAAAAGAUGUUCUACGCUUCGUAGACACGCAUAUACUGUUUUUCCUUGGACGGGGGUUCGAUGCCCCCCACCUCCACUC